CCCUCUUCCCUCCCUGUAUCUCACUCUUUGCCCUAACCCUUCCCUAAACACCAACUCAGUUUCUCUUCUUCAUCAAUUUCUAAAAUCUAAAAAUCUAAAAUCCCUAGUUAAGCUCCUCUUCUAAAAAUGGCGCAGGGAUUAGGGGAAUACGUUUCUUUUAUCUCUAUUGAAAUUUCAAUCUUCUUCGUUGUAGCUUUUGACACAUGUCCUGGAGCUCACACGUUAACCAUCAUAUUUGAAUAAUUAUAUCUUAGAAGGUGAUUCCACCUGGUGCUUCAUAUGGCUAGCAAGUAGCAACUCAUCAUCAUUCCACCGAAGAUUAUCAUGAGUACCAUGAAGUUGUUGCUAAGAUAUUAUAUCCAAACAGAGAGGAUAAUACAAAGAUUAUAUUAGAGAAGUUCAAUGAACUAUAUUCUAAGUGCCAAGGAGUUGUUAGCGUUUGUUGGCUACAUGGAAUUUCAAUCAUAAAUGGAAGGGUUAGAGUUGGACUGUGACAUUGUGCAAUUUAGUUCAACAACAUAGCAGAGUUUUAACUUUUUGUUUGAUCUCUAUUUAGUUUACAUGUUUGUUUAUUGUGGAACAAACAAAGGACUUUUUGUGUGUUGAUAUAAUGUCAUUGAGUUUAGAUCUUGAAAAGUUGUGUAAAAUAUACAAAAUAGUUGUUCAUCA